AGUGAACGCUGGCGGUAGGCCUAACACAUGCAAGUCGAACGGCAGCACAGUAAGAGCUUGCUCUUACGGGUGGCGAGUGGCGGACGGGUGAGGAAUACAUCGGAAUCUACUUUUUCGUGGGGGAUAACGUAGGGAAACUUACGCUAAUACCGCAUACGACCUACGGGUGAAAGCAGGGGAUCUUCGGACCUUGCGCGAUUGAAUGAGCCGAUGUCGGAUUAGCUAGUUGGCGGGGUAAAGGCCCACCAAGGCGACGAUCCGUAGCUGGUCUGAGAGGAUGAUCGGCCACACUGGAACUGAGACACGGUCCAGGCUACUACGGGAGGCAGCAGUGGGGAAUAGUGGACAAUGGGCGCAAGCCUGAUCCAGCCAUACCGCGUGGGUGAAGAAGGCCUUCGGGUUGUAAAGCCCUUUUGUUGGGAAAGAAAAGCAGCAGGUUAAUACCCCGCUGUUCUGACGGUACCCAAAGAAUAAGCACCGGCUAACUUCGUG
rnacentral:rRNA from 1 species